AUACGUAGGUGGCAAGCGUUGUCCGGAAUUAUUGGGCGUAAAGCGCGCGCAGGCGGUCCUUUAAGUCUGAUGUGAAAGCCCACGGCUCAACCGUGGAGGGGCAUUGGAAACUGGGGGACUUGAGCGCAGAAGAGGAAAGUGGAAUUCCAAGUGUAGCGGUGAAAUGCGUAGAGAUUUGGAGGAACACCAGUGGCGAAGGCGACUUUCUGGUCUGUAACUGACGCUGAGGCGCGAAAGCGUGGGGAGCAAACAGGAUUAGAUACCCUGGUAGUCCACGCCGUAAACGAUGAGUGCUAAGUGUUAGGGGGUUUCCGCCCCUUAGUGCUGCAGCUAACGCAUUAAGCACUCCGCCUGGGGAGUAUGGUCGCAAGACUGAAACUCAAAUGAAUUGACGGGG
rnacentral:rRNA from 1 species